rnacentral:rRNA from 1 species
ACGCUGGCGGCACGCCUAACACAUGCAAGUCGAACGGAGUAGCAAUACUUAGUGGCAGACGGGUGAGUAACAUGUAGGUAUCUACCCUUUGGCCUGGAAUAACACGAGGAAACUUGUGCUAAUACCGGAUAAGUCUUUACGGAGAAAGCUUUAUGCACCAUUGGAUGAGCCUGCACUUGAUUAGUUAGUUGGUGGGGUAAUAGCCUACCAAGACUUUGAUCAAUAGCUGAUUUGAGAGGAUGAUCAGCCACAUUGGGACUGAGACACGGCCCAAACUCCUACGGGAGGCAGCAGUGGGGAAUCUUGCACAAUGGAGGAAACUCUGAUGCAGCGAUGCCGCGUGAGUGAAGAAGGCCCUUGGGUUGUAAAGCUCUUUCGUCGGGGAAGAAAAUGACUGUACCCGAAUAAGAAGGUCCGGCUAACUUCGUGCCAGCAGCCGCGGUAAUACGAAGGGACCUAGCGUAGUUCGGAAUUACUGGGCUUAAAGAGUUCGUAGGUGGUUGAAAAAGUUGGUGGUGAAAUCCCAGAGCUUAACUCUGGAACUGCCAUCAAAACUUUUCAGCUAGAGUUUGAUAGAGGAAAGCAGAAUUUCUAGUGUAGAGGUGAAAUUCGUAGAUAUUAGAAAGAAUACCAAUUGCGAAGGCAGCUUUCUGGAUCAUUACUGACACUGAGGAACGAAAGCAUGGGUAGCGAAGAGGAUUAGAUACCCUCGUAGUCCAUGCCGUAAACGAUGUGUGUUAGACGUUGGAAAUUUAUUUUCAGUGUCGCAGCGAAAGCGAUAAACACACCGCCUGGGGAGUACGACC